rnacentral:lncRNA from 1 species
ACGGAGGGCGCGCGGCCGCCACCGAGCCUCUGCGUGCUCCCGCGCACGCCAGGCCCAGACGCGCCGCCGGCCACGUGACCCGGCCCCGCCCCCUAACGGAAGUGGGUCGGAGUCCCGGGCCAGGAGAUCGCCAGGGCAGACUUCCGGCUCCACUGCGCGCAAGGACACGCUUAAGAUUCCAACAAACAAGCGAUUUCACCUUACAGAAGAAAACUCAUGCUGGCUGAUGCACGAGGCAAGGAUUUCACAUUUUCUCCUGAUCAGUAGAAAUUAUAAUUUGGCUAUCUUCUAGGUAAGAGAAAUGAAAAUAUUACCAUGGGUCUUUGUUCAUUUAUUUAUUUUGAGACAAGACUUGCUAUGUAGUUCAGGUUGGCCUUGAACUCACUAUGUAGCCCAGGCUGGCCUUGAGUUCAUAGCGAUCCUCCUGCCUCAGCCUUCUGAGUGCUGGGGUCACAGCCACACCACACCUGGCCCAAUUUGCCUUUAGAAAUGCUU